rnacentral:lncRNA from 1 species
AUGAGAGUGUUGGAUGUGGCGCUGAGGUGGCCCAAGAACACAUUCUUCCUCUUGAAGUUAUUAGAUUCUUGGGGGUCCCUGGCAAGGAUUGGGAAACCUUUCAUUCACCAGGGAUUGAGCCUGGCUGUGCUGUUGAAAGAAACAUCAGUUGACCCUGUUAGCACAUCUGCGCUGCUGGAAGAGCCGAGGGUUAGAACGCAGCCGGGUCUACUGACGGCGCAGGCAGCAGCCGCUUCUGUUGGCCUCCUCUUCCUUCCCUUCGAGCUCACCGAUCUUCCAAGCUUCUCCUCAUCCUGCCAAACAGGGAAGCUGCACAGCCCUGCCCCAGUACAGACCCCAGAGACUGUCGAGGAGAAUGCAGAGGCUUCACCAAGCAUUGCCUCAGGACCCCUGAGCCCCGACACACAAGAGACAUCUACCUGGUCCAGUCUCCCAGAGCAGUCCACAGACCGUGAACCUGAGACCUGUUAGACGUAGCCAAAUCAUCCUGAGCCAUCAUGAUCCGGAAAAUAUCUCUUUUGAGAAAGACCCAGAAAAAACAUCUUCUGAGAAAGAAAACGAAAGCAAAAGUAAUCGGGGGAAAGGCAAGAUAAAUUUCAUUUGCACAAAGCACAGGGACUUUUCCGAAGGUUCCAGAUUGGUGGGGACUUGGGUUUAGGGUCUGAUGGAUCACAGCUCACCUGUUUUAUUAUGGAGCAUGACUGCUCACCAGGCUCUGCUGCUGAACGCUGUCUGUUCUGAAUUCAGACUUGGCCAGUUAAAGCUCUAUAAUAAAAACAAUUCUUUGAUGUCCAAUCCCAGCACAUAAAAUCCCAAACUAUGCUUUUACUAAGGUGAAUGAGCAAAUGGUUUGGGUUAACAUGUGAACAGUUACAAAUGUCAGAGGCUGGGAGGGAUAUUAACUCAACUGGAAAUUUCACUCAAGCCAGGUGUCUGGUUUAAAUUUGAGGAGCUGAAUAUAUUAAAUAUGCUUUAUUGAGCUGUCAUGCGUGAAAUUGCAUCCUUAUGUAUCGGACAGAUCUUGCAUGGGUUUCCCAGAAGCUUGUGGGAGACCGACGGUCUUUUGGAGACACGGAGGAGAAAACCUUGUCUCAACCGCCCUCAUGCACGGACCUAGAGCCCAGCCACGCCAGGGACACCAAGUCCUAGUGGACCCUGCCCAUGGGGCCGCCGACACCCUGGGCCAGCGGGCUCUUCCAUGGAGGAUGGAAACGCUCUCGGCUGAAACUGCACACGGGCAGCAAAGUCAACAGGGCAGCUGCUCUCCCUGCGGGGAGGGAAAGAGCCACUCUUACUCUCUCUGCAGAGGACAUUUGGACGGUCCUCCAGCUGCAGCCAUCAUCCUUCUCUCUAUUCCCGAAACAGGGAGCCCCGCUGCCUGAAAGAAACAACACGUGCUGUGUGGAGUGCAUUGCAGGUGGAAUCAAAUGAUACACGCUGGGAUUACAUGACACUUUUACCUUUUAAGAUUGAUAUUCUUUAAACAGAAUUUCAGCUACAGAAUAGGCAACGAAAUAUUUGGAGAAACAGCAUUAUAAAGAUCCAUUUGGUGUCAUUAAUUUGUGAAAUUCCAUAGAAAUCACCAUUUCUGCAAAUACUCUGUCCGUGGACACACGUGGGCAAAUGGCUGUGCAUUCCUUCAGAAGAACGCUGUCCAGCAUGCUCACUCAUAAACUGGCUUCAUUUGAUCUUUCUAAGCUCGGGUUUCCAUGUCUGCAGACAGGAAUGAUGGUAGCUCUUACCUCACAGGACAGCAGCAAGGAUUAGCUAACAUAACGCUGUAAAUUACUUAGAGUAGAGAUGAGAAAAAUUGAGUUACUGGUAUCACCAUUAUAAAACUUAACAUUGUUCUGGCCAGGCACAGUGGCUUAGGCCUGUAAUCCCAACACUCUGGGAGGCCUAGGCGGGCAGAUCAUUUGAGGUCAGAGUUUGAGACCAGCCUGGUCAACAUGGGGAAACCCUGUCUCUAGUGAAAAUACAAACGUUAAGCAGAUUUGGUGACCCUGUCGUCCCAGCUACUCUGAAGGCUGAGGUAGGAAAAUCAUUUGAACCCAGGAGGCAGAGGUUGCAGUGAGCCGAGAUCAUGCCACCCCACUCCAGCCUGGGCGACAAAGUGAGACUCUGUCUCAAUAAAAUAAAAUAAACCCUUGUAUUGCUCCAGUGCUGUAUAUGUU